rnacentral:rRNA from 1 species
GUCCUACGGGUGGCUGCAGUGGGGAAUAUUGCACAAUGGGCGAAAGCCUGAUGCAGCAACGCCGCGUGAGUGAUGAAGGCCUUCGGGUUGUAAAGCUCUGUCUUCUGGGACGAUAAUGACGGUACCAGAGGAGGAAGCCACGGCUAACUACGUGCCAGCAGCCGCGGUAAUACGUAGGUGGCAAGCGUUGUCCGGAUUUACUGGGCGUAAAGGAUGCGUAGGCGGAUAUGUAAGUCAGAUGUGAAAUACCCGGGCUCAACUUGGGUGCUGCAUUUGAAACUGCAUAUCUAGAGUGCGGGAGAGGUAAGUGGAAUUCCUAGUGUAGCGGUGAAAUGCGUAGAGAUUAGGAAGAACACCAGUGGCGAAGGCGACUUACUGGACCGUAACUGACGCUGAGGCAUGAAAGCGUGGGGAGCAAACAGGAUUAGAUACCCUGGUAGUC